rfam:Mustela putorius furo unplaced genomic scaffold scaffold00026, whole genome shotgun sequence.
ACCUGGCUGGCUCAGUAGGAAGAGCAUGUGACUCUUGAUCUUGGGGUUGUGGGUUCAAGCCCCAUGCUGGGUG